rnacentral:rRNA from 1 species
GACGAACGCUGGCGGCGUGCUUAACACAUGCAAGUCGAACGAUGAGGCCGGAGCUUGCUCUGGUGAAUUAGUGGCGAACGGGUGAGUAACACGUGAGUAACCUGCCCUUGACUCUGGGAUAACUGCUAGAAAUGGUAGCUAAUACCGGAUACGACCCUCGGAGGCAUCUUCAGGGGGUGGAAAGAAUUUCGGUCAAGGAUGGACUCGCGGCCUAUCAGCUAGUUGGUGAGGUAACGGCUCACCAAGGCGACGACGGGUAGCCGGCCUGAGAGGGUGACCGGCCACACUGGGACUGAGACACGGCCCAGACUCCUACGGGAGGCAGCAGUGGGGAAUAUUGCACAAUGGGCGCAAGCCUGAUGCAGCAACGCCGCGUGAGGGAUGACGGCCUUCGGGUUGUAAACCUCUUUUAGCAGGGAAGAAGCGAAAGUGACGGUACCUGCAGAAAAAGCACCGGCUAACUACGUGCCAGCCGCCGCAGUAA